ACAGCAGUAGCCGCGGGAAUACGUAGGGUGCAAGCGUUAAUCGGAAUUACUGGGCGUAAAGCGUGCGCAGGCGGUUAUAUAAGACAGAUGUGAAAUCCCCGGGCUCAACCUGGGAACUGCAUUUGUGACUGUAUAGCUAGAGUACGGCAGAGGGGGAUGGAAUUCCGCGUGUAGCAGUGAAAUGCGUAGAUAUGCGGAGGAACACCGAUGGCGAAGGCAAUCCCCUGGGCCUGUACUGACGCUCAUGCACGAAAGCGUGGGGAGCAAACAGGAUUAGAUACCCGCGUAGUCCCUGUCUCUUAUAC
rnacentral:rRNA from 1 species